UACAGAGGGGGCAAGCGUUGUUCGGAAUUACUGGGCGUAAAGGGCUCGUAGGUGGCCAACUAAGUCAGACGUGAAAUCCCCCGGCUUAACCUGGGAACUGCGUCUGAUACUGGACGGCUUGAGUAUGGGAGAGGAACGUAGAAUUCCAGGUGUAGCGGUGAAAUGCGCAGAUAUCAGGAGGAACACCGGUGGCGAAGGCGGGUCUCUGGGCCGAUACUGACGCUGAGGAGCGAAAGCGUGGGGAGCGAACAGG
rnacentral:rRNA from 1 species